ACGUGAAGGUGAUUGGAAGAAAAACAAGAUACAAGACUAUUUAAGUAACGUCAAAGUUUUGUUUAUAUGACGAUCACUGAUGGUGGUAUGCGUGUCGCAUUGAAAUUAUACUAAACCACAGACAUAUCAAUUUCCAUAUUCCGAGUUGAUAAGGAAGUAAUUUUGAAAUAAUAGGAUGACAUUUACAAAGAAAGCAAUGCAUUAAAAAUAUUUUUAAAUGCAGUUAUUGUGGUUAUUACAUUUGAGCGACAAAACAGAUUGUGACAAGUAUAUCUACAAGCAUCAUGAACAUUAUAUAAAUGUCCAAUGGAAAUGAAACUUUGCCUUACAUUGUUUUAUCAUAUGAAAGGACGAAAAGAUUAAAUGAAUGGUUUAAUAAUGCAUUAUUUUUGGAUAUAAUUUCAAUAUGUGGGCGGUGUGACGGAAGAAGACGUAUGCAGUGCGCAUAAUACAUCAACACAAAAAAAACGCGGGCUUUAAAAAGAAGAAAGAAAAGGAUUGGACCUCAUGAGUGAAAAGCAAGAUUAAAAUCGACUGGACAAACAUUUGAAUCAUCAAAGUUAUGUUCAUCAUUAUAUCUAUAGAGAAUUGAAAGUCGAAUAAUUUAUGAUCCGAGUAACAUUGUGUGUUAGCAUAGCUGAAAGGUGUAGACAUAUUCUCGGAAAUAAAGAAAUAUUGGAUUACGAUUUAGAUAUGAAUAUUGGCUUCACAAAUUUCGUGGUUAGCUACAGCAUUGAAAAGUGAAUUGGUUCAGUACAAAUCCGAAUGUUCAGUACAAAUCUUACAAAAAGACAUGCGGUGUUGGCUCUUCCCAAAACUUCCAACAACGCAAGAAGCAACGAGAGGUUUCGUCGCAUAUUUUAAUGUUUACUUUAUUUUUGCAUUGUUAAGGGAGCUAAAUUAUAAUUUUUUGUUAUUUUUAUAAAAUGAACCUUACAGGCAUGUGGCUAUAUCUAAGGUCUUAAGAAGACAUCCCAAGUUCUUGCUUCCAAAAAUGCAAAAUUUUUACCAAUUUA